UAUUCUGCCCCAUGGGGAAGGAUGAGAAGCUUCGACCAAGGUUCGACUCGAGCGAAGCGAAAGAACGUUGCCGCAGGCAAUGGCCCGAAGGCGAGGCGCUUUAGCGCCGAGUAAUCCUUCCCCCACCACUG
rnacentral:sRNA from 2 species